rnacentral:rRNA from 1 species
UUUCGGCAAGUUUUAGCUUGCGGUCAUUAUCCACGCGUGUAGGGGUGUCGUUGCGGUGGAAAAGUGGUCGGGUACCGAAAGGGGUCGAGACCGCGGUAAACCUCUAGUUGGUGCGGUAGAGAGGGAGGGGUGGAGACCGUGGUAAACACGACACGUGUACGUUGUUGAGCGGGAGAGUAAGUGGUACGGUGCAGUAUUCGUUAUUAGGAAGCGUUGUCAAAGAGUGCUCGAUCGUGUUUGUCGUGGAGCCGGGAGGCGGGAGCAUAAUGGACGAAGGCAGGGAAACAUGUCACAUGCGAUCAUACCACCACUAAAGCACCGGAUCCCAUCAGAACUCCGAAGUUAAGCGUGCUUGGGCGAGAGUAGUACUAGGAUGGGUGACCUCCUGGGAAGUCCUC